AGUGAAAGAGGGGGGUAGGCCUAACACAUGCAAGUCGAACGGCAGCACAGUAAGAGCUUGCUCUUACGGGUGGCGAGUGGCGGACGGGUGAGGAAUACAUCGGAAUCUACUUUUUCGUGGGGGAUAACGUAGGGAAACUUACGCUAAUACCGCAUACGACCUACGGGUGAAAGCAGGGGAUCUUCGGACCUUGCGCGAUUGAAUGAGCCGAUGUCGGAUUAGCUAGUUGGCGGGGUAAAGGCCCACCAAGGCGACGAUCCGUAGCUGGUCUGAGAGGAUGAUCAGCCACACUGGAACUGAGACACGGUCCAGACUCCUACGGGAGGCAGCAGUGGGGAAUAUUGGACAAUGGGCGCAAGCCUGAUCCAGCCAUACCGCGUGGGUGAAGAAGGCCUUCGGGUUGUAAAGCCCUUUUGUUGGGAAAGAAAAGCAGCAGGUUAAUACCCCGCUGUUCUGACGGUACCCAAAGAAUAAGCACCGGCUAACUUCGUG
rnacentral:rRNA from 1 species